rnacentral:rRNA from 1 species
AACGAACGCUGGCGGCAGGCCUAACACAUGCAAGUCGAACGAGAAGCUACCUUCGGGUAGUGGAAAGUGGCAGACGGGUGAGUAACGCGUGGGAAUAUACCUAGAGGUACGGGACAACGCCGGGAAACUGGUGCUAAUACCGUAUAAGCCCUUCGGGGGAAAGAUUUAUCGCCUUUAGAUUAGCCCGCGUUAGAUUAGCUUGUUGGUGAGGUAAAAGCUCACCAAGGCGACGAUCUAUAGCUGGUCUGAGAGGAUGAUCAGCCACACUGGGACUGAGACACGGCCCAGACUCCUNACGGGAGGCAGCAGUGGGGAAUCUUGCACAAUGGGCGAAAGCCUGAUGCAGCCAUGCCACGUGAGUGAUGAAGGCCUUAGGGUUGUAAAACUCUUUCAGUGGGGAAGAUAAUGACGGUACCCACAGAAGAAGCUACCGCUAAC